AGACAAACCAGAGGUCAUUACUACACCAAACAACUCAUUUCCUGCAGCUGACACUCCUCCCAAGCUUGCAACCUGUGGUCAGCAAGGCAAGAGAGUGACAGACAUGGAGUCGGCUGUCUCCCUCACAGAGGAGAAAUCCAGUACUCAGAAGCAGUUAGCAGAAGGUCCAUCAGUACCAGCAUCAGCCAAGGACUCCUCAUUGAAGGACUAUUUAGUGCCCAGGGCUUCCAUUCGGACUAGAUCCCAGAAAUCCAGAGAGGAACAGUGUCAGCAGCAGUAGUCUGUACAAAACUAACUGAACCCCGUUGCCAGGUGUGAUGUGAAAUCGUCCAAAGAGUUUUGCCACAAGAGCAUGCACCUGUACACUUUUAGCAGUGCUUAAUCCCCCCAGUAAGAGCAAUAGAUAGAAGAUUUCCCACUAACAUGUUCCACCUAUUUGUGAUCAUAUACAUAAAUAUUCAAGUGAGGAAUGGAAUGGUUAUUCCUCUGAGAAACAUUCAGGUUUACCUGUAUGUGUGUACAGUACAACACCUGCAGCAAUAUGUUAACAUUAAGUAGUAACAGGGUUAUACAGCUUUUGCUACAUAUGUGUAACCUUCCAUGAAGAACGUACGUGUACAUGCUAAGGCUUGUAUGCCAGAUCAUAUUUUCCUCGUCAUUAUGUACCAAAGUGAUACGAUUCGCUGGUUAUCAUCCCUUCAAGGAUCCCUGUACGUCAAGUUAACCGCAAGUUUUAAUGAUUGUUUUAUAGUCUCUGGAUAAUGUCUGACCUGUUAUUACAGUAUAUGUACAUACAUGUAUUGAGCAGUAGAACACUUUUAUCAAUGUAUGGGUUUUGUGUAAGAUUUCUAAAGUUAUAGAUACUGGCUUUAAUACAGAUGUGCAAAUGUUCCAUAUACAAUAUAAUCAAAUACAACUGUCCAUCUUUGUCUUCAAGAGUGCAUUCC